GACGAACGCUGGCGGCGUGCUUAACACAUGCAAGUCGAACGGAAAGGCCCUGCUUUUGUGGGGUGCUCGAGUGGCGAACGGGUGAGUAACACGUGAGUAACCUGCCCUUGACUUUGGGCUAACUUCAGGCAACUGGGGCUAAUACCGGAUAGGAGCUCCUGCUGCAUGGUGGGGGUUGGAAAGUUUCGGCGGUUGGGGAUGGACUCGCGGCUUAUCAGCUUGUUGGUGGGGUAGUGGCUUACCAAGGCUUUGACGGGUAGCCGGCCUGAUAGGGUGACCGGCCACAUUGGGACUGAGAUACGGCCCAGACUCCUACGGGAUGCAGCAGUGGGGAAUAUUGCACAAUGGGCGGAAGCCUGAUGCAGCAACGCCGCGUGCGGGAUGACGGCCUUCGGGUUGUAAACCGCUUUCGCCUGUUACUAAGCGAGAGUGACGGUAAUGGGUAAAGAAGCACCGGCUAACUACGUG
rnacentral:rRNA from 1 species